CUGGGAGCUACUUAGUCGCAGCUCCCGCCCACGCCGCCAGCCCCGCCUCGGCGCUCAAGCCCCGGCCGGGAAGCACCUGCCGAGCAGUCAAAGAAGCUUUCUGUCUAGUCUAACUGAACCAUGGCACUACCUCCCACUCCCAGCAAUCACAUCUCCUUGGAGCCUGAAGAGAUGGCAGCACAGAUGAAAGAAUGCCAGAAAACCUUGGCGUGGGCCACCGUCAACAACAGCAAACAGCUAUCAACAGCCCGCCCCCAACUCACCCUUCCUUUUUUUAGAAAAAAACAGAACCUAAGGUAUGAUGACUGGCACUUAAUCGUCUCAAAUAGAUUUAAUCGGUUAUACGGGGAUGGAAAGAAUUAAUGACAAACUGGUAUCAGUGAAUGAGGAAACUGACAACUUAGCAGCAGCUCUCCCAUGCUAGUUGUGUUUUCUGUAUCUUAAAGAUAAUGUCAUCAAUGUUCCUAUGUUGUGCAGAGUGCCACUUAGCAUGGUUAUUUGCAUCAUUACGCUGGGCAUCUGAUACAGCCAAACUCCAAGGCACCUGGUUUGCUAUAAAUAUUAGAUUCAUUUAAGAUAUAUAACGAUGCUAUUUACUAACCCUUUUGUCAACUGAUGCUUUGAACCUGCUGUAAAGUGAUCGCACCAUGUCACCAGAUGCUGCACUGAAGCUGAGGAAGUUAGCAUGAAGGUAACACUUCAUUAAAAGCAUGCAACUUACUGUGAAAUUAAUAAUGCAAGAAAAACGGAGUGGAGCAGACUUAGAAGAUCUUUAUACUUUACGUCAAAUCUCCACUAAGGAUUUUUUAAAACCUUAUUUUUCAUGGUAUCAUUGAAUAUCUUUGUUAAACAGUAAAAUGGGGUCUAACUAGCAAGAUGUUCACAACAAAAUCUGCUGACAGGGAGAACAUAGGGAAGCUGGCCCCUUCAAUGUAUGGCAUUUCAAGAGCUUACGAGUACUCCAAAGAAAACUAAGUUGUUCAUGUGUAAUGAACUGGACAAAAGCUAAAAUGUGACCUGUGCCUUUUAAACAAACAAAAACGCUCACCAUGGGGAGUAAAAAUAAAUAUAGUACAAUAUAAACCAGCCUGAGGCCAAGUGGAUUGUGGUUCAUAUUUAAGAAAAAAUCAGUUUGCAAUGUAUCAGAGUUCUUUUUAAAUUCUCUUUCUCUCUCUCUUUUUUAAAUGAAAUCAAACAUUCCAGGAAAUUACUCUAAACACUACAUCUUUCCUUGAAGGAGUACCUUUUGAUAUUCCUUGGGUUGAAAUUAGUUAAUUCUUUGGUGAGUCAGGCUAUCUGCUUUUCCGAAAACAACUUCCGUUGCUCUAAAGUCACUGAAUGCUUUUCCCUGGGCUCUAAGUUUAGAGACAGAACCAAGCCCUAAAAUGAAGAGGCCAAGAGGCACUGAGAUAGUGCAGAAUAUGAGGGAGUGAAGGAAGCUGGGAUAAUGAGUGUCACCCAGCCACCGGCCUGCAUGUAUCUCAGGGGCCGUACCAUCCCACACCAUCCAGAGCUGCAGGCCAGCAGCACUCAGCUCUGAGCUUUUCCCUGGAGUCAAGACUCAUCUCACUCCUUCCAGAGACCCAGGAGUCUUGGAGGUAUGACACAACCAGGACAAAGCUGAAUCCUGAGAGACCUGACCACUUAAUUCUCCUGCAUGUACGCAGCUGCCAAACCCACCGUGUCUCAGACCCUUGAUAUCCUUGAUGCGUGCCCAAGAGGGAAGUGCUUUCAAUGAGUUAUCCCCUUAUGAACACUCAUCCCCAGACUUACUAAGCCUCCCAUGCCUCCCUUUCCUCCUAAACUUUUCCUCUGUAACCUCCAGAAUCCCAUUCCAUCAUCAACAAAGUCCCUGAUACCCCCAGCCUCUUCACUGAACAUUCUUUAGCUUUCUAGCUCUAAGAAACUGGCUUUCCCUGUAAGCACACUGUUUCCUCGGCAGCCCUCACAAUUGGAGGCUGCUGGGUCAGGCACUUUCUGUCACACACUGCCAUUUCCAUGGGUCUCAGUUCUCUGCUGUCUGAAACCCUGGCUACAUAGCCAUUAAGUCACACUCUCUACCCCAGCUUUCAUCUACUGAUUGCCCGGUAAUGCCCUUUGUUUAUUGAAGACAUUGGCAAUGGGCCCACAGUAUUCCUUUUCAUUCCAAAUUCUGCCAAUAAUCUGGCACAUUUGGAUGUCAUGAGGCAUACAUGACCUCUCAGUUCCUUGAUUUCAUCUCUAAUUACCUUCUCCAUUCUGUUUCAAUCACCCAAUCCCACGGCCACCCCCAGGCUUUAUCAUCCAGAAACCACAGCACCUUUGAACCCAUAGCUUUCUAUUCUAGUUCUUCUCAUUUGGUUAUUUUCACUCUAUCAAUUUUCCAAACUUGUUAAGACCUCUAGUCUUUCUGUUUUCUUCUUUCUCCUUAUCUAUCAUCCAUUUGCUGUCUCCUUUUCCUUCUCUACCCAGGAAGGAUUCCGUGCUUUGUAAUGUUGGCCUCUGGCCCGUGUCCUCAACUCCAUUGUCCAUUACUCUUCUGUUUCGUCUGCCUGACAAAACUUGGAAACAUGUACCUUGAAUCUACUUGUCUGAUUUGGCCAUUCCUUUACCUGGGCUGCUGGACACUGCUGGAGAAAACCGUAGUCACACAGAUUGUGCUGCCCUAAAUUCAUGCUCAGCAACCUCAAAUGGAUCUUCAUUGCUUCUGCAAUCCUACCAUAUUCCCCUGACCUGCUUGCUUUCUUUCUGAGUCUCCAGAGCGGCUAUUUCAAGAAUUCUUCUCUCUUUCCAAACCUCCAUACUUGCCUUCUUUACCAUUCUCUAGAGGUGAUUUUAUUUCCCACUUACUGGGGGCGAGAGGAGGGGUGGUAGAAGUUAUGAGUUGCAGGCAGCCUCCUUUUCCACGCCAACCUGCAAACUUAUGUGCAUCUUCACCUUCUCACCUCUUUCCUCAACUUUGCCUCUUGGUAUAAAAGAUGUUCCCUCUCCCAUCAAAGGCCGAUCUCUUGGCCCAUCCUCUGGAUUCCAUCUCCUCCUGACUUUUCGUUGACCUCACUCUCAGUUAUUCUUUCUCACUUUAUUUAUAUAGUCAAGCUCUUCCUCUCUGCUGGCUCCUUCCUUCUCAAGUUAAAAAGAACACAUUUUGGGGCCGGCCUGGUGGCAUGGUGGUU